AGACGAGCGGGCAAUUGCCUACUACCAAUGGGAAGAGAAAUUGUGAAGUCGUAGUAGGCGACUUCAAUUAUUAAAGAUACCGUAACCGGAUGCGAUUUUACAACCACAUUUAACAGUCAAAGGUUGCAUCAGCAAACGCAGGGUUUCAUUUGCUAUUAUUUUCGAAUAAAGUUAUAUAAGGGAGUGAGAAUGAAUAGACCCAAACGAAUUGUUUUAUUUAAAUAGUAACACUAAUAGUCGAGCAAUGAGGAGGGUGGUUACAAAAUCUCUGUGUUACAAAACUCUCACCUUGUUAUUAUACCCUGUCGAUCACACAAGGAGAAUUUUCGGUAGUCAGUUAUACUUGGCUGAACUAUCUGAACUUGUUUACCAAAUGAACUUCUAUUACUGAUUUAACUGACCGAAGUAGCUGCUCGUAGUAAUUGUUUACUGAUUGACGUUAAAUAACUCGUUGAAGCGACUGAACCAAACUGUUUACUGAAAGACCAAACUGAAGCAACUGAUUGAAACAACUGUGAUUGACUUGACUCGAAGUUCGAAGGAUAAGAAUCACGCAAUGUUUCGUUCCCACGUGAACUGUUUGUCUUUGUGCGAACGAUGGAAUGUUAACACGUAGUUAUCUUGCAACUAUUGCAGUUUCAUGUUGGGGUUUGGUAUGUGGUCUUCUCAAGAGUGUUGCAGUCUUCAUUUCUGCUGAUGUCCUCAAGAGUAUUACCGUUUCAUAUUUCUGCUGAUUAGAGUUCGAUAUGCGAUCUUCACAAGUACGUUGCAGUUUCCUAUCUUUGCUGAUAACCUUCUCAGGAGUAUUAAGGUCUCCUAUUUCCGCUGGUUAGAGUCUGGUACACAGUCUCCUUGAGGGCAUUGCAUUCUCCCAUCUUCCUUCUUCUGCCUACUGGGGUGUCAUGGUGAAGCGCGCGCGUAAAGCGGGGCGCGUAGGCGAGCAUUCAAUUGUUCUGCCAGCUCUCCACACUGCAACAGGUAUUACUCCACACUCCGUGAUAUAACAAAGUGUCUUACAAUGUUAACACUUUACAUCAGAGUUGACAGACUUUUGCAAUUUUGUUUAUUAUUACGAUUCAUUCAUUCGGACAAUAUUCUAUAAGCGAUUCGUUGUCAUCUUGUUCGCGUAGUUUCCUGAUCAUGAACGCAGCAGAGCCGAUGACCUCUGUUUCCAGCCCGGCCGUACAGGUAUAUAAAUUCAAUUUCUUGUUUACCCCUUGUUAAAAUUUAGUUACUACUUUCUUCUUCGUGUAUUAUUUCAGUGUAAGAAACCCAAAAAGAAAAGGAAAAGGCUGAAUAAGAACGGUUCGAGGAAGCGCAGGCACCGUGCAGGGAUGAGGUUCCAGGAACAAAAGAGAAGAGCGUGUAUGCCGAAGGAAGUCUUUCCUGCCUUCCUCGGCACACCGAAUCCUGCGUCAACGCAGCGGUCCAGCAGUCCCUCUCUCGUUGACUUUACGUUGUCAGGUGAAGAUACUGCGGAGCUCUCGCCGUGUCCGUCCCCUGUUGAAUUGCUCGUGACGGACCAUUGUGCCAAAGUCUGGUUAUCUUCGAAGAUUCCGGUCGAAAUUUUGAAUGCGCACGUACGUCAUCAUAUUUCCGGGGUAGAAGGGGUUUCGCCCAUCGUACGGUCCUGGUGCAUGGAUGUCUUUCAUCAGAAGUAUUUCGCCGAAGAUUUUUCUGAUAUGCCUUCUUAUGAUUUCAAUAUUCAUCGUUUAAAUUCUGAUUCUACAUUGUAGUGUAUAUAUAUAUAUUUGUUAUACACACACACAUAUUUGUUAUAUAUUUGUUAUAUUUGUUGUAUAUGGCUCGCGUCGAUCGCAACCCGUGACAUAUCCUUAUCUUUUCUAAAGUCACGGCUCAUGUUGAUCGCGAGACGUGACAUCAGCCAAAAGAUGGGAAGUAAGAAUAAGAGCCAUAAAUUUUACCCAUGUUCAUCGAUAAUCUCCCUAUUCAUCUCUAAUUGUAAGUUAAGCUAUUUUUAUAUGAUGCGUAACGACAAAAUGUUAAACGUCUUCAAUUUUUCUAUUAUCGUAUUCAUUAAUGAUAAAUAAAUAUAAAUUAUAAUUUAAAUAAAAAUAAAUAACAAAAUUAGAAAAAUUUGGUGCAGAUUUUGUUUAUAUAUUUUAAAACAAUAAAUAAAAUUAUAAAAAUUGAUUCCAACAACACGUAAAAUAGAAUUACAACUAGUAAUUAAAAUAAGAUUUAGGAAAUCAGCUGGAGCGUGGAUUGGUUGUGAUUGUACAAGUGAAACCUUAUUAUCAUCGAGUAAGAACAAGUCAGUAACCAAUGAUUAAGGCGAUCCCAAGUACCACGUGGUUGUACUAUCCGCUCCCCAGAAGUGGCUUCACACUCUUCGCCUUAAGUAAAGGUUUAUGCUCUAUCCCUAUAUUUCUAUGUACAUAUUAUAGAUGCAUAUCACGACUCAAUUUUCAGACGAUUUUCCCUAGGCUUCGGUAUACGAGAGUCAAGACCUGUUUAUAUGAUCGUGGUAUACACACCAUACACUGUGACCCAGACUUGUUUGUACAUCUAGUAACUAAUUCUAGUAAUAACGUUUAAACGAUAAGAAAUAUAGUAAUUUAGUAUGAAUUUAAAUAUUUGUAUAAUUUUGGAAUAAAAAUCCAAUGAUUGUGAAAGGUUAAUUACAUGCAAUAGAUCAUAUAAAAAAUUACAAUAUUAUUAAUAAAGAUAUAUUAAAAAUAUUA